GUGUGGAUUUAAAUAAUGAGAUAACACAUAUAUCUAAUUAAGUAGCUAAUCAGGUAGGAUGAUAGAUGGAUUUUAUUAGUUUUGGACAGAGCAAGGCUAGCUGUUUCCAGUUUUUAUGCUAAGCUAGCCAAGACAAGUGACUGGAUGGCUUUGGUCUUAUGUUUACUACUAUUCCUUUAAUUCAUAAAACAUUUGUAGUGCAGGGAAAAUAUUUUUAUGAGCUGUGGAAAGGUCAAGUCAUCAAUGGCCGAGGCCAAGAGAAGCCUGAGCAAACACUGACUGUAAAAUGUACUAAAAAAGACUGGAAAUAUAAACCGUGUAACUCUCCAUCAUGAUUUGUGGCCACUUGUCAGUCGUGAUCCAAACUACCUAUGUGGAAAGAAUGUAACAUCUCACUUUUGUGCUUUUUGAGAAGUGGUGGUUCAGGAGUGCCAUCUGUGAAAUCUUUUCGCAACGCAGCGUUGGCCAUUGCAGAACUGAACAGUGGUGUAUUGUGUGCAUAUCAUUUUGGAGAAAUGUCUCUUUUCAUACCUUAUCGCUUCCAACAUGCUCAAUCAGCUGCUGUGAAGAAAUGUGCUUUUCUACUCAGGAUUCCAGCUCAAAUUUACAGCCACUGAACUAUACAAUAGCUCAACUGAGACAUUUUGUACAGUGCUGGGGGAAUUCACCCCACAGUGACUCGAUGAGAGCAAACAGCGCUCUUGUUCUUUAAACACAUUUCUUUGAGGACAACAGAAGAAGAGCUGGGGAGAAUGGCACAGGGCUUUGUGUUUAAGUGUGCGUGUUAAAUUUUACACAGUCAACUAACUCACAGCCCAAAAUUGACUGUAACCAACUGCUUCCCCCUGGUGGCCAUCAGAGGACCGUCAAGAUGAGACUGCACUUUCAGGUGACAGCACAUGGAGCUUAAAGAGGUGAUACAGCACAAUGAUGUCUGGAAAAAAGUGCAGCGCGCCCCCCAGUGCUGCCGCUGAUCACGUACUGAGGUUUCUACAUGAGAGUCUUUGACUAGAAAAAUACCACAACCACAAAUGUAAUUCUCACCUUCCUGUGACACCUCCGACCACUCUGGGUUGGGGAAUUCGUACUGGCCCAUCCUGAUCCUCCUCUUCAUCCCCGGAGAAAUGGCCUGGCCUGUGUUGGAGUAAAAUGGAGGGAAGCCACACAGCCUACAGAGACAAAUGUGGUGGGACAGAGACAGCAACUUUAAAAACCUUAAAAAGAUUGACCUACGCUUUGUUUGAAGGAUCCAUUUACAAAACGCAUCAUAUAAAAGCAGUACUCACAGGAUGUACAUGAUGACGCCCAGAGACCACAUGUCACAUGACUUGUCAUACUUCUCCGGACCCAAAACCUCAGGAGCUUAUCAUUGGCAAAACACAAACACACAGAAAUAGAUAAAAAAUUAUAAAUGGAGAUCAGUGGCAAAAAAAUGGCUUCAGGCACUAUGUUGUUUUUCCUAUUUAAAAAUCUGUCAAAUGCCUGUAAGCGGUUCAUCUGUCAGGAAAAUAAGAGCAUUUUACAAAACAACUUACAAAAUAACAACUUACCCACGUAGUACGGUGUAUAACAGGGGGUCUGUAGAGGGUUGUGUAGCGUUGUCUCCUUAGCAAAGCCAAAGUCUGUUAAUUUGAGGACCCCGUUUCUUUCUUUAGUGGUAUACAGCAGGUUCUCUGGCUGGUUAGGAGGCAGAAGAAGAAAAAAAAUAAGACAGAAUGUCCUUCAGUGUCUCAGUACUAAUCACAUUCUUCAUGAUCUGGGUGGUGAUCUUCAUCUUUCUGCACCUUGAUGUCUCUGUGCGCGAUGUUGAUGUUGUGGAGGAACUCAAUGGCCGUGCCGAUGUCCCUCAUAAUCUCAGAAGCCUCUGGGAGGAAAAUAGGAAAACACACUCUCUCAAACCAGACACAAGAGAUACAAAUGAAACAGAGGAACAAUCAAACAGGUUAUUUUCUGUUGUGUACUGUCUGCCUUAUAUUGCUCUUUCCUGGGAAUAAUGGUUCAGUCUUUCUCUCACACAUUCUGUGAUGUGUUUAUCAGUCCUUCCCUCCAUCAGUCCUCACCUUUCUCAGUGAAGGCCUGGUCACCUCGGGCCUGGAUUCGGCUGAACAGCUCUCCUCCCUCCAUACUGGAGACACACAAACACACACACACACACACACACACACACACACACACACACACACAA